rnacentral:rRNA from 1 species
GACGAACGCUGGCGGCGUGCCUAAUACAUGCAAGUCGAGCGCAGGAAAUCAUCCGAACCCUUCGGGGGGACGUUGAUGGAAUGAGCGGCGGACGGGUGAGUAACACGUAAAGAACCUGCCCUCAGGUCUGGGAUAACCACGAGAAAUCGGGGCUAAUACCGGAUGGGUCAUCGGACCGCAUGGUCCGAGGAUGAAAGGCGCUUUGGCGUCGCCUGGGGAUGGCUUUGCGGUGCAUUAGCUAGUUGGUGGGGUAAUGGCCCACCAAGGCGACGAUGCAUAGCCGACCUGAGAGGGUGAUCGGCCACACUGGGACUGAGACACGGCCCAGACUCCUACGGGAGGCAGCAGUAGGGAAUCUUCCACAAUGGACGAAAGUCUGAUGGAGCAACGCCGCGUGAACGAUGAAGGCCUUCGGGUCGUAAAGUUCUGUUGUAAGGGAAGAACAAGUGCCGCAGGCAAUGGCGGCACCUUGACGGUACCUUGCGAGAAAGCCACGGCUAACUACGUGCCAGCCGCCGCAGUAA